AACCAGGACUUCCUGCCCCUCUGGCCCCUAUCCCCCUGCUACCGCCCCCCUGCCCCAGGCAGCCAGGGAGAACUUGUGUCCUUCGUACCAGAGGGAAGGGAUGAGCCCUACCUUUCUAAUUCCAGCAGUCUGGGCACUGGGGGAUCCAGAGAAGAAAGAUCAGCACUAGAGCAGCUGACUGUGUCCCAGCAUGGGAGACCCACAUGGCCAUGGUGGCCAGGACCAGGGAAGCAAGGAGAAGAUGCAGAGGGGACCAGCAUGGGAUCAGAAGGUUCCUGAGCUCACCAUACAGCCAAGACCAUGGGGCAGACCAGAUGGCCCCCCGCCCCUGCCCCAAAGGCCGAAGUACUCUAAAAGUCCCUUCAGAAGAAAAAUGCAGUUACGUAUCCUGGAGCCCUCAGUGUGGACCAAGAUGCGCACACCCUUAGCAGGUCACAGGGUUGAGGCGCAAGAUGGAGAAGGAGUGCAUGUGUUCAGGGGAUGGGGUGACAAGGACUCAGCCACCCAGUGAGGGUGACCAAGGACACCGAGAUGCCCACUGCAAUGGAUGUGAGUAUUCUGACCUCUGGAGAAGGGACAGUACUCUGGACUCGGAAUAGAACACGAAAAUGUUCUGCGGCCUGCGCAAAAACCCUCCAGAGCAUCCAAUUCCAUUUGCUUUGAUUGCAGCCUCACUCAGCAACCUUC